rnacentral:rRNA from 1 species
GACGAACGCUGGCGGCGUGCCUAAUACAUGCAAGUCGAACGCAGUGGGGACGGGUGCGUUACCCGUGGGUAACCUUCCCAUCAGACGGGAUAACACUUGCAAACAGGUGCUACCUCGAUACUGAUGUAUUGACCCGCGGUGCAUUUGAUAGUGGGUGAGGUAACGGCGCACCAGGGCCACGAUGCCUAGCAGACCUGAGAGGGUGAUCGGGCACACGGGGACUGAGACACGGCCCAGACUCCUACGGGAGGCAGCAGUAGGGAAUCUUCGGCAAUGGACGAAAGUCUGACCGAGCAACGCCGCGGGAGUGAAGAAGGUUUUCGGAUCGUAAAACUCUGUUGUUAGAGAAGCGGUAUCUAACCAGAAAGCCACGGCUAACUACGUGCCAGCAGCCGCGGUAAUUC